rnacentral:rRNA from 1 species
AGAGUUUGAUCCUGGCUCAGAGCGAACGCUAGCGGCGGGCUUAACACAUGCAAGUCGAGCGGAGGGGCAACCCUUAGCGGCGAACGGGUGAGUAACGCGUAGGUAACGUGCCUUCAGGUGGGGAACAACCGUGGGAAACCAUGGCUAAUACCGCAUAAUGUCGAAAGAUGAAAGCCUUCGGGCGCCUGGAGAGCGGCCUGCGUCCCAUUACCUAGUUGGUAGGGUAACGGCCUACCAAGGGAACGAUGGGUAGCUGGUCUAAGAGGAUGAUCAGCCACACUGGAACUGAGACACGGUCCAGACUCCUACGGGAGGCAGCAGUGGGGAAUAUUGCGCAAUGGGGGAAACCCUGACGCAGCCACGCCGCGUGAGUGAAGAAGGCCUUCGGGUCGUAAAGCUCUGUCGGGAGAGACGAAGGGGUAAAACUCUGACGGUAUCUCGCAAGAAAGCACCGGCUAACUCUGUGCCAGCAGCCGCAGUAAUACAGAGGGUGCAAGCGUUGCUCGGAUUUACUGGGCGUAAAGCGUACGCAGACGGACCGUCAAGUCGGGAGUGAAAGCCCUGGGCUCAACCCAGGAACGGCUUUCGAUACUAGCGGUCUUGAGUUUGGGAGAGGGAAGCGGAAUUCCUGGUGUAGAGGUGAAAUUCGUAGAUAUCAGGAGGAACACCGGCGGCGAAGGCGGCUUCCUGGCCCAAUACUGACGUUCAGGUACGAAAGCGUGGGUAGCAAACAGGAUUAGAUACCCUGGUAGUCCACGCUGUAAACGAUGAGUGCUGGAUGUCGGAGGUAUUCACCCCUUCGGUAUCGAAGCUAACGCGUUAAGCACUCCGCCUGGGGAGUACGGCCGCAAGGUUGAAACUCAAAGGAAUUGACGGGGGCCCGCACAAGCGGUGGAGUAUGUGGUUUAAUUCGACUACGCGCAGAACCUUACCCAGCCUUGACAUCCUUGGAACCGAGUGGAAACACUUGGGUGCUCUCGCAAGAGAGAGCCAGGAGACAGGUGCUGCAUGGCUGUCUUCAGCUCGUGUCGUGAGAUGUUCGGUUAAGUCCGGCAACGAGCGCAACCCCUGUCUUCAGUUGCCAUCAUUUAGUUGGGCACUCUGGAGAGACUGCCGGCGUCAAGCCGGAGGAAGGUGGGGAUGACGUCAAGUCCUCAUGGCCUUUAUGGUUGGGGCUACACACGUACUACAAUGAUGACUACAAAGGGCAGCCAACCCGCGAGGGGGAGCAAAUCCCAAAAAAGUCAUCUCAGUUCGGAUUGCAGUCUGCAACUCGACUGCAUGAAGUCGGAAUCGCUAGUAAUCGCGGAUCAGCAUGCCGCGGUGAAUACGUUCCCGGGCCUUGUACACACCGCCCGUCACACCACGAAAGUUGGAUGGACCCGAAGUCGCUGCUCCGACCCGCAAGGGGGGAAGGCGCCAACGGUCUGUUCGAUGAUUGGGGUGAAGUCGAAACAAGGUA